ACACCAGGAAUCACUGUAUCAGUAAAAAUAUUAACGCAACAUCAAGAACAGUACAUGGAAUCCAAAUUGGCAAAAGAUAAUUGCGUGAAAUAACAAGAACUUGAUGAUAUGCAGAACAGAGUUCUAAAGUCUACUGAACAACUGAAGAGGGAGGAAGAACAUAUUUUACAUGUUUUAGGAAAUUAAUGUGAAGCGAUGGAGGACUAUACUGGUGAAGAAGAAGCAAGUUCAGAAGAAAACUUUGCAGUCCCUUGGAUGCCUCAUCCUUUUUCGUUAUUACUGAUUCCUUCUACUGCAGCAAGCACUAUUUCAAGAAACACUGAGCCUAUAAACAAGAUGAAAUUCCAUGAUUCCAAAACAUCUGCAACCACUGUAUGCUUUUUGAAAAUUAAUAUAUUAUGUUUAUAAUUUAUUGACUAUAGUCUUACAGUAUAAUUAAAAAACCCAGCAGUCACAGGAAAUGAGGACAACCCAAUCUUUAAAUGGACCAUGGAUAUCCCCGACGUAACACAAUCAGAUAUUUUAAGCUAUCACUCGAGAGUAAUGAAGCUACUCCCAGCGAGCAGAUAUCAAGAGAUGUCCCUCCAAAUUUUACACAACUCCUAUCUUACCCCCCUUAGAAGACAUAAAAUGGGAAAUCUCUCCUCUGACAACUGUCUGCGCUGUUACUCACCGAAAGCUGACUUACUACAUAACCUCUGGUCAUGCUCAAAACUGCAAACAUUUUGGCAAGAGGUGGUCGCUUACGGCGGCCAGGUAAUCGGGAAACCCCUCCAACCACUAAUUGAAUGGGCGUUGUUUAGCCACACUGCACUCUAUACCCAGCUGUCGAAAUCUGAGAAAAGCCUAAUGGGCAGACUAGCUGCAGCGGCAAGAAAAACGAUCUUACAACAAUGGUUGGCUGCGGAAUCCCCAUCUAUUCUGAUAGUCAAACAAAAAUUACACCACUUGUUCCAUAUGGAUUGGUUGGAAGCAAUGACCAGAAAAGAACACAAUGCUUCAAAAUUCUUUGACACCUGGUUGUCAUACAUACUGUCACUCCCACAUCACACUAGAUAUCUUACAGUCUACACAUUUAGACGAACUACUUGGUACGAUGUGGAAACACUCAGAGAUCACCCACUUGUGAUGGAGUCACCCCACUACCUCGACAACUGGCAGCGCGAACAAGACGGGCUGGCCUUUGCACCCCCCAGGAGUCAUCAGAUAAACAGAAUGUUGGCAACGUACCCACCGAGUCCCUCUUAAAAUCUAAUACUAUAGUUAGAGCUGUAUGUUUUGUUAUUAUUGUUGAUACAUCAUCUAUACACACUGUUCAGCUUCCGCAAUAUUGGAUCUAACUGUGUAUAUCAAUGCAACGAAUGAACGUAUACUAUAUAUGUUGUUACUGAAUAAAAAACAUGUUUAAAAAAAAAAAAAAAAAA